rnacentral:lncRNA from 1 species
ACCCCAGUGUUAACAACCUCAUUUCCUUCUGACCCACAGAAAGUGUGACAGGACUGACUCGUUGUCAACAUGAGCGACUGUAUUCCAGCCAGAGAGGUUCUCCCAUUCCAGGAGGGCCUCAUGUGCCUGAAUGUGACGAGAAAGGAAACUACCGGCCACUUCAGUGCCACGGCAGCACCGGGCAGUGUUGGUGUGUUGACACUGAUGGCCAGGAGAUUCCUGGGAGCAGAACCCCUCCAGGUGAUGCCCCACCACGUUGCAGGAUUCCAGAGCCAACUCAGAGGCCACAAACGAUGUGUGAACGCUGGAGACAGAGCCUGCUGGAACAUUAUGGAGGCAGACCCCAGAGUGACCAGUAUGUGCCCCAAUGCGACCCUCUGGGCAACUUUAACCCACUACAGUGUCAUGGAAAUAGCGGCUACUGCUGGUGUGUGGAUGAACAUGGCCGGGAAAUUCAAGGCACUCGAUCGGAGCCUGGGGUACCCCCUGCAUGCCUUCCUAGCGUCCCUCCUCCAACCAUCCGUCCAACUCCACGUCCUGAGAUAAUUCUGCCUGGAUCUGGGACAUUCUUGCUUUAUGCUCAGGGCCAGCAAAUCGGUUCCUUGCCACUGAACGGAACGAGGUUUAAGAAGGAGGCAGCGAAGACGGUUCUCUCACUGCAUGUAAUGUAUUUCCAUGCAAGGUGGGGACAAG